ensembl:lncRNA
UUGCUUUUGAAUCAGAGUAACUUUUUAUUUAGACCAAGUGAACUGUAACAUCCAGCAUGUAGUGAUGGCACCUGCAACCCCAAGCCAGCCGACUCUGAAGUCCCCAGUCCCUGUGACAAGAUGCUCAGGGCAGGAUCAAUCCUUCCUGCUGCACUGCUGGGAGGACACAAACGCCUCAGACAAGGAGGUUUGUGCACACGACUCCUCUUUCUGCAGGAAACUCUGAGCAGGAGGAGCUUCUGCUCCAGCAGGGAGAGCCUUCCCUGCCUCCUUCAGCUGCAGCCCGAGGGGGAAGCCCUUAUCUUCAAGUGAGCACCAUCCCUGAGGGGCCAGACAGAAAAUCAAUAGCAGUGCAGAGAUUUGCUGGCUCUGAAGAGCCAGGGAGAUGGAGCCCAUCACACAUGAUUAGAUGUGCUGAUUAUCUGCUGAUAUUCAGCAAAGGGACUCUCUCAGCAGAUGCCUCUGGCUCCUCUGUCCCUUCUCUGUCCUUCUCUGCCUCUGCUGUCACUUUUCUCAUGUGUGCUUCCCUGUUUCCACAUACUUCUGAGCUCUGGAACCUGUGCACAGGUUUUCUUCAGAUUUUGGAGAGAGCCCAGAGGAGUGAUGGCUUCAGACUGCCAGAGGGCAGGGUUAGGUGGGAUAUUGGGAAUGUGGUGAGGCUGGGCAGGCCCUGGCACAGGUGCCCAGAGCAUCUGUGGCUGUCUCUGGAUCCCUGGAAGAGUCCAAGGCCAGAUUGGACAGAGCUUGGAGCAGCCUGGGACAGUGGGAGGGGUGGCACUGGAUGGGCUUUAAGGUCUCUUCCAACCCAAACCAUUCUAAGAUUCCAUAUUUAAUAAAUUCCUUCUCUUGGCAUUCUGGGACCGUGGGAAGAACAUAGCAUCAAGUCAUCAGGCAGACUAACCCAUUUGCCUUCCAGCCAGGCUGUCCUCUUGGCUGCACCACAGAUCCAUGGGACAGACUCAGCCUGAACUCAUCUGGUCUCCAUUCUCCUCCUGCACCACAUAAUUGGUACCAGAAAAUUAAUCCCUGUCUUCUUCUUGCCUUCUCUACUUAAGCUGUAAAAUGUUGGGCAAGAGGCUGCUGUGCUUCCUAUUUAGUACAGCCGAGUUCUGCCCUUGCAUAGGGCUUCCAAACACUUUGAUGCAAAUUUCAGGAAUCUACAAUUAGAUCUGUAGCCAUGCCUGGUGGUGGCUCAUAAAGCCCAUCCCAUGUUUCCAUCACUUCUGUGGCAGUGCUGAGCAUUGAUAAAAUAAUAAUAGCAGUGGGUGUGGGAGAUAGCAAAAAUUUCCCUGCCACUCAGGGGGGAAAAUGAAAAGGAAAACUGUCAGUUCUGCUGUUAUUUUUUCUGCAGUCCAUCUCCUGUUAACUAUGAGCAGGAGCAGGUACAAUCUGAGUACAGCACUCCAAUGCCUUUCUCUUUGUGAUGUUUACAGCUGUAAAGCAGCCAAGGAUGACAAGCAAUUCCCCUGAAGAGUGUGAGCACUUGCAAGCCCAGUCACAUCCACAGAAGCCUCAGUGCUUGGCAGAAUAAGAAAACUGCACUGCACGGUUCCUGCUGAACCCCAAGCCCAGCUAGGACCCUCCUCUGGAUAAGGCAGGAGGAAUAGAAAAUUCCUGGUUUCACCUGGGCUGAAAAUCCUGGUUCUGAGUUUUAGGCUAAAGGAGAUUUUUUUUUUGUUUGUUUGCACUCUUGAAAGGCAAGAAUGGUCUGUGGCUCACAGCAUUUAAGGGAUUAGAGAGCAGAGGUCCCUGCCACAGUAUCCACCUCCUUUUGCACUACAUUAAGGAGAAAGAGACACUGCUCAGCAGUUCAGGAGGGAAGUAGGCUCCCAAGGAAUGGUUACAGGUACCUACCUACUGUGUAUUGUCUUAAAUAGAGUUGUCACUGGAAAAAAAUUACAUUCACCCCAAGGAAGAGUUUAGACACAAACAACUCUAGCUGGAUUUGUGGAUAUAAGACAGAGCAGAGAAAUCAGGGCAUACAGCUGGAGCCCUGAUCCCCAGAGGGAAUGGGUCCUGCCACCCCCUCCCUGCCAGCCUUGAGCCCCCCAGAUUCCACCAGCUGCCUCCAAGAAAUGAAACUUGCCUCUAUUUGUCUGCUAGUCCCUGGGAACAUGGGGAUGUCUCACUGGGAAGAUACUGCAAGAAAAGUAGAGAGGACUAAGCAGCCUCAUUAGCAGUUUAAUUGCAUAAAGUCCCUAGAAGAACUUUUACCUACUGAACAGCCUUUCUUUUCAAUUAGGUAGGAAAUAUCUACCUGCUUAGAUGAGGUGUGCACCACUGGGAUGCUCAUUAACCUGGAUGUAUUUGCUUUGUUGGACUUGGCUGAUAAUUAAAGUGGGUUUUUUGGGGGGGGUUUUUGGUUUGUUUUUGCUCCCUUGGGAAUGAGAAGGUCUUUCUAUCUCUGCCGUGGAUAAUCCUUGAGGCAACAGGCUUGGCUGGCAGGAUGUAUCUGCGAGGAGCAAAUUGUGUUUCUGCAGAGGAGCUAAAGCUGGGACCUGCCCUUCUGGAAGCCGAGCCUGGAUUAGAGUGGACAGUUGGGGAGCAAAAUCUUCCUCAGCCUGUGUUUUCAGGGUCUCUGGGGUCUCUGUCCUGCCUCUGGACACUCUGUACUGACAUCCUCAGUUUCGGGGACACUGGGAAGGGACAGGGUCAAGGUCCUGACCAGACAAACUAGGCACCCCCUUCCUGCCACCGAGGGGCUGCUGUCAGAGUCCUGCUGAGGAAACUGCUCUUCAGGAAGGGGAAAACACCCCCUAUUCUUCCUCCCCUCUCUCAACGGGGAUGGAUCUAUCUCCUUUCCUUCUGCCUCUCCCCUGGCUCAGGCAGGCCCAGCGGUUAUUUGGGCUGAAUCCCCUGCAUAAGCCCCUCUCCCAGCACAGAGCUGCCAAAAACCCAGCUGGGGUGGGACACCCUGGGAGUGUGAGUGGGCCCCCACCCCAGAGCAGGGUGUGGGAUUCCCUGUGCCCUCUACAGCCCAGACAGGCAGGGAGGACUGGCUGAGCACAGAGAGGGAGGAUCCUCCUGCUCUGCAGAGCCAAACACCUCCACCUGCACCCAGACCUGCCCAUGCUGCAGCGACCUGCGGGCGCUGAUGAGCAGCCCCAGAAAUCCCUGAGCCCUCAGGGUACACCCAGCAGCUCAGAAACCCCUGGAUUAAAAACUCCCCUGCUGCCCUCGGGCCCCAGUGAGCCACAACUCCCUGUGGAUGGGGAGAUGUUCUGCCUGCAGCUCAGCACUGAGGGCUGCAGCACCUUCCUGCCAGCUGACAGGGCUGGUUCCUGCUGGGAUGAUGGAUGGAGGCAGGCUGGGCUGAAAGUCCUGGCUCAGGAAUGGCCCCUGCUGGGUCUGGUGACCCCAGCCCUGGGGAGGGGUGUCUGUGCUCUGCUGGAGCAGGUGCUGUAAUGGGAUUCAGUCCAUUAAAGGCUGCAAAAGGCUCCAGCCCUGCUGUGGGCUGGGGCUCCCACAGCUGAGGAGGGGCACUCUGAGGAUGGGCAGAGGCAGCUUCUCUGCACCCCUGGAGAGUGUGCCAGGGCUUGGUGGCUUUUCAAAGCCUGUGUUCUCUGUGUCCUUCAGUACCUGGCAGAGCAGAGCGUUCACACUGAGAUGACUGAGCAAAUUCAUCAAAGGCCACAAGCCCAGAGCUCAGAGGUACCAGGUUUGUCAGUUCCUUGAACAGUCCUUCCUCUUUCAAGCUCUCCAAAGGCACCAACCCAGGGAGUUCAGCACUGUCUCUGCUUGUUCCUGCUGCAGUGAGGAAGACAGAUCAGACCUGGGGAGAUUUCCUGUGUGUGCUCCAGACUGGCACUGCUGCCUGCACUCUGCUUUCCAGCUCAAGGACUAAAGCUGAGAAAGGCACUUUGAGCCCAAACUUAGCUGGAUGGCUUAAGUGCCAAACUUGUGACCAACACAAGGUUAAUUCUUACCUCCCAAAUUUUUUUCAUGUUAAGGAGGAAGAGAAACGUUCUGUCAAUGUCCAGUAAAUAAUUUCAGAAGGAAGCUUUCCACUGGAGGGAAACAGAAAUCAAAUAUAGCAGUCCAGGAUUUCAGCAGAAAACAUUGAAUUCGUUCAGAGCUGGACUGCUCCACACCUGUCACUCAGCACUUCCUGGUCACAAAUGUCACCUGGGUGACAACAGAGGUCCCUUUCAGGCACAGCAGCUCCUGUUCAGCUCUGGAAGUAGAAACAGCUCUGUCAUUUGCCAAAGGAGAACAUUCAGCCAGAUGCUGGGGUCUGGCACAGCUCCAAGUGCUCCAGAAAUCCUCACUCCCAGGGAGGUGUGAGUUAUCCUGCUCCUGGGAAGGUGUUCUGUCCUGUUCCCAGGGAGGUGUGAGUUAUCCUGCUCCUGGGAAGGUGUUCUGUCCUGUUCCCAGGGAGGUGUGAGUUAUCCUGCUCCCAGGGAGGUGUGUUAUUCCACAGAUGUGUCCCAUGCAAUGCCUGUGGAGUGAGCAGGGGGCAGUGCCAGAGGAAGAUCCCAUGGUCUGUGUGUUGCUUCCUCAGGCUCAAAUUGUCUGUCAAACUUUGACAGGUGGUUUUCCACAUCAAACCCAAAUCUUUCUUCCUAUGACUUAAACCUGUUAUUCCUCCUCUUGUCCCCUAUGCACCAGGAGAACUCGUUCUGCCUUUCUCUUCUCUGUUCUCCCUCCUACACUUGAAGGCUGCAUUAAUCUUUACAACCUCUCUGGAAAAUAGAACAUUGCCAUUAUCUCCAAAAAAAAAAAAAAAAAAAAAAAAA